UCCCACAGCGAAGGGGCGAGACGCACGCUACUCGAGAAAACGCUGCAGCGUUGGCGGAGUCACCGAGCUCGCGUCCGGAGUGCACACCGCGGUGCUCCGCAGUGUUCUGCUGCACCACCGCGUAUAAUGGUCAUUUAUCUCUCUCAAUGGACCCUCAGGUUUCGAGGCACUGUGCAAUGUGGGCUGACCGAACUGGAGCUCCGGCAGUCGCGCCACGACGGCGUUCAGUCAACAAGCAGCCUUUCUCUGCACGUGGGUGACGACACAAUGGGCUAGACGGAACUGGUGGGGAUUUUCACGUACGCCUGAA